rnacentral:rRNA from 1 species
GCAUGUGUAAGUACAAACCUCUGUGAAGGUGAAACUGCGAAUGGCUCAUUACAACAGCUAUGAUUUACUAGAUCGUACUUUACUACUUGGAUAACUGUGGUAAUUCUAGAGCUAAUACAUGCAGCAGAGCUCCGACCCCUCGGGGAACGAGCGCUUUUAUUAGACCAAGACCAAUCGGGCCUCGUGCCCGUUCUCUGUGGCGACUCUGUGUAACUUUGGGCUGAUCGCACGGGCUUGUCCCGGCGACGCAUCUUUCAAGUGUCUGCCUUAUCAACUGUCGAUGGUAGGUUAUGUGCCUACCAUGGUCGUAACGGGUAACGGGGAAUCAGGGUUCGAUUCCGGAGAGGGAGCCUGAGAAACGGCUACCACAUCCAAGGAAGGCAGCAGGCGCGUAAAUUACCCACUCCCGACUCGGGGAGGUAGUGACGAAAAAUAACAAUACGGGACUCUUAUGAGACCCCGUAAUUGGAAUGAGUACACUCUAAAUCCUUUAACGAGGAUCUAUUAGAGGGCCAGUCUGGUGCCAGCAGCUGCGGUAAUUCCAGCUCUAAUAGCGUAUAUUAAAGUUGUUGCGGUUAAAAAGCUCGUAGUUGGAUCUCAGUUCCAGACGGGCGGUCUACCUUUUGGUGGCUACUGUCCGGCCUGAACAACUAGCCGGUUUCCCUAGAUGAUCUUCACCGGUUGUCUUUGGUGACCGACACGUUUACUUUGAAAAAAUUAGAGUGCUCAAAGCAGGCGCGACGCCUGAAUAAUGGUGCAUGGAAUAAUGGAAUAGGACCUCGGUUCUAUUUUGUUGGUUUUAGGAACACGAGGUAAUGAUUAAGAGGGACAGACGGGGGCAUUCGUAUUGCGACGCUAGARGGWRAAA